GCACCACACAUCAAGGCGUCACGAUGAUCGCCGCCUAGAAUAGUAAUCAAAUCCAACCUCAGAAUUCAUAUCGAUAGAAUAUAUAACUUAUAUAAAAUACGUCACUACGUAGUUCGAUCCGGAAGAUCUGCCACUCAGAUUUUAAAUCCAUAACUUCCAGAGGUCCACAAUAUAUCUCUAGGAUAACAUCCUAAAAUUUCAUUACCAUCCAACGGUCGGAUCUCCGUCAAUUUCCAAAACUAAGUGACGGUUAACAUUUUAUAUUAUGGACUUACAACUCCAAUUCCGGAAGAUCCGUAAAUCGGAUUCCCAAUCCGUAAGUUCCAAUAAUCCUCAAGUAUUACGUAUUACAACGUAUCAAAGUUUGGUAACGAUCCAACGGUCGGAUCGUCAAUUCACAUUUUUACCUAAAUGUGAAAACUAUAAAACGUUAUUCGAACACCUAACCAACAAUCCUUAAUAACUUUCUCAUACGGUGCUCAAUUUGGGUAUAUGAAUAUACCACGGUGAUCUACUCGACGUCACGGACGUCG
rnacentral:lncRNA from 1 species